AUUGAACGCUGGCGGCAUGCCUUACACAUGCAAGUCGAACGGUAACAGGUCUUCGGAUGCUGACGAGUGGCGAACGGGUGAGUAAUACAUCGGAACGUGCCUAGUAGUGGGGGAUAACUACUCGAAAGAGUGGCUAAUACCGCAUGAGAUCUACGGAUGAAAGCAGGGGAUCGCAAGACCUUGUGCUACUAGAGCGGCCGAUGGCAGAUUAGGUAGUUGGUGGGAUAAAAGCUUACCAAGCCGACGAUCUGUAGCUGGUCUGAGAGGACGAUCAGCCACACUGGGACUGAGACACGGCCCAGACUCCUACGGGAGGAAGCAGUGGGGAAUUUUGGACAAUGGGCGAAAGCCUGACUCAGCAAUGCCGCGUGCAGGAUGAAGGCCUUCGGGUUGUAAACUGCUUUUGUACGGAACGAAAAGCCCCGGGUUAAUACCCUGGGGUCAUGACGGUACCGUAAGAAUAAGCACCGGCUAACUACGUGCCAGCCGCCGCCGUAAUAC
rnacentral:rRNA from 1 species